rnacentral:misc_RNA from 1 species
CCCUUCACAUGUAUAUAAUCAGGACUCCCUGCAAUAAUAAAGGCUCGCUGUCAUUUGUCUCUCUCUCAAUCUCGUUACCACUGAGUAUACUAUAACAGACGGAUCCGGCGCCGCUGUGUCGGGCGGGCCUGACGGCACCGGCACCGGGCUGGUUCGUCCUUGUCCGGUAACCAGACGGCGCUGCUGAUGUGGUCCCGCGGAAGGCGGAAGAAUAUUAUCUCGUGCGAUGCGAUGUGGUGGCGCGGAGGCGGAGCGGAGAUCUGCACGCGAGCCGCGGGGCGGCAAUGCCAUGUUGGCAUGGCGCGCCGCGCGAGAAAAUAAUGCGGCCGGACAGCCUGGUGCGGACAGCCGGGCCGGAAGGGCGGGCGGAUCCGCAGGCCGCAGCGCAGGUGCGUGCGUGCCAGCCCACGCAGCUCAGAUGCCAGCACACACGAGGAAGCGGGAGCUUUUUUUUAACGCUAUACUAUUAUAUGUCCAUCGCCCUCAGCUGUGCUAUGCCAGAUGCCCAGAUCUGUAUUGGAUUCCGAUCGAUCCAUCCGAUCGUUCCAGAACUAGUUGAAGCUAUGUUGGUGGUGGAUGACGAAAGACAAGAACAGAUCGUGGCGGCGAGGGAUUGUAGUUAUAAUAAUGUGUAUCAGUUUAUGGAUGAAUAAAAACUUGCACUUUCCGUUCACCUGACAAAGGGAAUGGCGCCCCUGGGGGCGAUUGGCGCCGCCGCCGCCAGCCCUGAUCGCCCGCAUCCGGUUCGGGGGGUGCUCCGUCCUUUCUCCGCGGGCGGGGCUAGCGCUCCUCUCCGUGGUGGCCUCGGGUCGGCCCUCCCCGCGGCGGACUCGGUGUCCGGUCCUCUGCCCAAACCUCUUCUAGAGCCGGUAAGUGCUGAGCGCUCGUUCUCUGGCGGGCAAACUCUGCGCAGUGAUGUGCCCCCCACGAGCGUUCAAGACCUUCUCUUCCUCGGUUCUCCUCAACCAGAUCCGCAGCGGGCCGUUGCGGGCGGCAUUGAUCACAGGAGGAUUUCACUUUCAAGUUCCAGAUCUGAAAAGUGCUCUACGCCGGUGCUGCCUGAAGAUCCGCAUAGUCUGCUUUCGGCGCCGCGAAUCCAGGCGGCUGAAUCAUCCGACUGUCACUACACGACGGUUGAUCUUUAGCGACCCUUAUUAGGUACCAACUGUUGGUUGCUAAAGGUUAGGGAC